rnacentral:lncRNA from 1 species
UCCAUCUCAAACAAAACAAAAAGUGCCAGUGCAAAGUCACCUCCUCCAUGAGUUGCCUUCCUCAAUAUACCUUUCUCCCCAAGUUCACUACUGGGCACACAGCCUGCUCUCGAUAAAAGUUCAAUCCCAUCUUCCUCUGGGUCCCCAUAGUUCCUGUGCUGUCCUUUAUCCCUGCAUAGGCCAGGAAUGUUUCUGUACCCAUCUCUUGCCCUCCCCAGGCUCUGAGCUCAAGGGAAGAGACUGUGUGUGACCCAUUGCUUCUCAGCAUAAGGUCUGGUGUUCAAUACAUUUGCAUUUAUUAAGCAUCUACUAUGUGCCAUUAGACUAGAUGUUUUCCCGUGCUUUACCUCAUUAUAGACUUAAGUCACCUGUGUUGAACAUGGGAGUCUUGACCACUUUGUUCCUGCUCUUCCUGUCAGCCAAAAUGCCUUCCCAUGAGCUUGCCACAUAACCAUGGGUGGCUCACUGGACUUUCAUCUGGGCAAAGAGAAGGGUGUGCUGACACUACUCAUGGCUCCUUCAUCUGGGACCUACCCAAAUCCCGUGGCUUUGCUCACAAUCAUCUGAUCCUGUUGUGCCCAAGAUGCCUGCUCCCAUGCCUGGAUACCUGCUGCAGCUGCUCCAAGCCAGGACCCUGCCAAUCUGUCAUUUUAGAUCUUCAGCUCUGGGUUGGUCUUCCAGGUGCCUCUGCCUCCCAAGGAAACCCAAGGAACUCCGCCAGAAAGGGAAUGCCUAAAAGAGCAGCAGUGGGGACUGUAGGGGUCCUCCUGCCUGCCCCUUUGUUAUCCAGAGUGGGGCCCUGACUUGCCUGAAGUCACACAGGGACUCCGGUAUUCCAAUCCUCGGCCUUAAGAUCGCUGCUAUCCGGUUACUUCUAUCUAAAAGCCCUAGAGAAGUUUCGGGAGACACUCAAAGGGCCCUUGUCUGGUUUCCAGGCUGACCAACUCUAAUGGAGAAAAAGCUCACUCACUAAGCAUACAUCAAAUGCCAGGCGUAUAGAAUCCUUCAGUGGAGGGAUCA